GCCAGUGUAGCGUAGUGGCUUGAGGACUGGACUAUGACUCUGGAAACCAGGGUUCGAAUCCCAGCUCAGCCG